CCUACGGGAGGCAGCAGUGGGGGAUAUUGCACAAUGGGGGAAACCCUGAUGCAGCGACGCCGCGUGGGUGAAGAAGCGCCUCGGCGCGUAAAGCCCUGUCAGCAGGGAAGAAAAUGACGGUACCUGAAGAAGAAGCCCCGGCUAACCACGUGCCAGCAGCCGCGGUAAUACGUAGGGGGCAAGCGGUAUCCGGAUUUACUGGGUGUAAAGGGGGCGCAGACGGCGAUGCAAGCCAGGAGUGAAAGCCCGGGGCCCAACCCCGGGACUGCUCUUGGAACUGCGUGGCUAGAGUGCAGGAGGGGCAGGCGGAAUUCCUGGUGUAGCGGUGAAAUGCGUAGAUAUCAGGAGGAACACCGGUGGCGAAGGCGGCCUGCUGGACUGCAACUGACGUUGAGGCCCGAAAGCGUGGGGAGCAAACAGGAUUAGAUACCCCAGUAGUC
rnacentral:rRNA from 1 species